AACAAACGCUGGCGGCGUGCCUAAUACAUGCAAGUCGAACGGGGUAGCAAUACCUAGUGGCGCACGGGUGAGUAACGCGUGGAUAAUCUGCCUUAGAGUGGGGGAUAACUAGUCGAAAGAUUAGCUAAUACCGCAUAAGACCACAAGAGCUGCGGCUCAAGGGGUCAAAGGUUUUUCGCUCUAAGAUGAGUCCGCGUAAGAUUAGCUAGUUGGUGAGGUAAUGGCUCACCAAGGCGACGAUCUUUAACUGGUCUGAGAGGAUGAUCAGUCACACUGGAACUGAGACACGGUCCAGACUCCUACGGGAGGCAGCAGUAGGGAAUAUUGCACAAUGGAGGAAACUCUGAUGCAGCGACGCCCGUGAGUGAUGAAGGCCUUCGGGUCGUAAAGCUCUGUCGCAGGGGAAUAACACAAUGAAUGUACCCUGUAAGAAAGGAUCGGCUAACUUCGUG
rnacentral:rRNA from 1 species